GAAAACCCAUGAGCCUGAUCUUCUUUUUCCUCUGGAGCCUGUGGUACUGCCUGGGACUGCCCAAGCCGGGUGCCUGCAGACAGGUGCACGGCUAUGCCUUUACACAAUGUAAGUGCUACUGUGGACACAGCUCUGUUGAGACUCAUAAAGGCUUUGAAUGGACCUACAGGCACAGCAUGUUUCCUUCUCGAGAAGAUUUUGUCAGCCAGCUCUCCAUCACAGGUACCCUGACCUCCCUCCCACACACAGCCCUGACCUGUCCUACUGGUCAGUCCCUUCUUGCCAGCUGUUCCUCAGUGUGAUCUGCAGGAUAUCCGUAUCUGCCCCCUUUUCUGUCCAGCUGCCUGGUUCGCCCAUGCUUCUGUCUGGGUCUGCCAACACCCAUCAGACAGGAGACAGCAGGACACCACCUGCCUCAGUGCUCCAGAAGUGGCUUGGUGGAGCAGCACAUGCAGCUACGGUCAGUGCAGCAGCAUCUGGGGCAGUUCAGCAGAGACCUCUGCCAGGACCAGCACUGGCACCUCGGAGGGGCUGCUUCACCGAGGUUUUGCUCCCAAUUCCUGCGAGCAGGGAAGGUUGUUCUGCCUCUGAAAGCCGGUGCCAAAUCACGUUCCAACAGCUGUAUGUUGUCCAGCAUGAGUCAUCCCCACCCUGAGCGCUAAGCCUAUCCACAACAACAUUCCUUCUUUGUGAUCUAAGGUCCUGGCUAGGUUAAAUUGCCAUCUAACAUCACUCUUCCCCUCCCACCUCCUUGCAACCUAUUGGGAUGUCUGAGUUCCAAGACAAGAGAGACUGAGAGAUCAAAGUCCAUUGUUGGACCUCCCCCAUGCCUGAGGAAAUCAUGAGAUUCGUGCCAAAAAUCAUGGGAUUUCUUUUUUCAAAAAUAGGUUGUUUUUCCAGUGUUUGAACUCCUCUGUGCGUGACAAUUAACGCUGCCCACUCUCCCAGACUUACUGACUAUGGUGAUUUUGGUCUUUUGCUGAGGCAGCAGCUCUUGCCCUCACACCUUACCCAUCUCCUACCUAGCAAUAAAUUCUUCCCCUUCCCCCUUAAAAAACCCUCCAAAUGAAUCCUGCACAUCCUACAUCAGUUCUGCUGCCUGCAUUGAUUCUCCUCCCUCCAGCAGCCCUUCUGGAUUUCUACCCCAUCCUAGCCUUCAGGAUAAGGCAGUGGUUCCCAAACUGUGGGUCGCGACCCCAAAUGGGGUCACAACAUCAGUAGAUGGAGUUGCGAUAAACAUGGCCCCUGUGAUUUCUGUGCCCACAGCAGGGUGCAGGGCUGCAGCCGGGCUACACCAGCUCCGGGCAGAAGCUGCCUCUGCAGCCGAGCACGUGGGACCUAUUGCGGGAGGGAGUGCUGCACCACCACAGCUGCCAAGGUGAGGGAUGGCAGUGGCGCAGAGUUGUGCCCACACUGCUGCCAGGUGAGCAGGGGGGUGCAUCUCAGCAUGGCAGCACGGUGCCCCCUACCUUCUGGGCCAGGUCCUGCCCACUGGGCCAUGCCCGCGGACAGCAGGGCAGGGAGCCCCAAGCUGCAUCCUCCUCACCACCAUGGAGAGGGGACAGGGAACCAGGCUCCACUCCAGCUGCAGCAUCCGCCACGUCCCACAGGUGGCACCUGGGGCUCGGGUGCUGCUGGGGGGCAGAAAGCUGUGGGUGGGGGAGUGAGGGGCCAUGCUGAGGAAGUGGGAUCGUAAAUGGGGUCAUGCUGAAGAAAAGUUUGGGAAGCACUGGGGCAAUGGGUGGGCUGUCCUAGGUGAGCUGUUCACUGUAGCCGUCAGAGUGCUGGCGUCACUCUUCUGGCUGGUGCUGUGGUGAAGCAGAAGACUUCAGCUCCCAAAGCAGCCUCUGGAGGCUAUAGGUCCCCUGGAGCAUUCAGUGCCAGAGGAUGUGCUGUUCACCAUCAGGGAAGGCCUGGCAAGCCUCUGUAUCGAGCUUGAAUAGAAAUCAAACCUUUGAAGAAUUCUUUUUUCCUAGCGUAUGCUGAAUGUAGACAGGCUCAGACAGCGGUGAAUGGGGACUUAAAUGUGGUAUUAAAUGUUUUUAAAAGCACAGCCCGGAAUAAUCCUUCCCUGGAAACCUUUAUUUGCUUUGGUGCAUGGGGGUCAGCC